UUUUGCUCAAGGAUAUAGAUAUAUCUUACAAAGAGAAUUGAGAAUAAGCCAGAAUUUUGUCCUUCCUUGUACUUUGUCUUGAUAAGUCAUUUCAAAACCAGGUGUAGACACUGAGUCCUGGGAAAGCCACACAAAAUAGAACUACAGCAUAUUUUUCCAGAACUGUAGAAAUUCAAAACGAAUGAGAAAGAAAGAAGAGUCUAAAAAUAUUCUAUGCGGCAAUUCUUCUAAUGAAGGGAAAAAAAGACAAAAAGAACAUUCCUAGAAGUGUAAAUCACUAAAGCCCAGGAGAUUAGCAUAAGGAACCUCUACAAAUUAUAAUUAUAAACUGUUUAGAAAAAGAUUCUGCAUAAAAAACGUCAUCUAACAUUCUUCAUGUAGGAAUAAAUCACUAUUAUUUGUACUAUUAUUUGUAUCAGCAUUUCUAAGACACAGUAGGUGAAUACCACACCUAGCAAGUGCAAGCUCAUUUCCCCUCGGGACAAGAAUGGUGCAGAUGAACAUCUGAGUGCUCCUGGGAUUUUGUACGUGGAGGAUCCACAUUUUUAUUACUAUCACAUGGGAUGCAUGGCGAUUAGAAAUCUGUGACCGGAAAAAAAAAUUAGAAGAUGGCAGGUUUUGAGUGGUGACCCAAGAGAUACCAGCCAUUCAACUGUGACCCUGAAGCCCUACUAACAUAUGGGAGGAGGCUGCAACUAUCAGAACAUGGCCUAGAGAUCACUGCUGAAUUUCUGAUAUCCACAGUAUUGCUGCAGAGAAGUGCAAGGCUGAGUAUCUUCCAUUGUUAAGAAAGAAAGUCAUACAUAUGAAUGGGGUCUGCAGACAAUCUAAAACUGAAGUUAAACCUACCCAACUCGAUGUAAAGGGCAGGUUAACUGAGUAAACUCCACGGCUGCAACAGCAACAAAUCUAGUGAGGAAACAGUGUCCUUUACUUGACUUCUAAAGUAAUCUUGUCUCUACUUCAAAGCAUAAAUUGCAAUAAUUAGGCAUUUCUAGAACCAACAUUUUUAAAGAACAAAGCUAUAAUGUCACAACACUCUAGGUAACAGUCAAAGGCUAAGUGUCUUUAUAACAGGCUAUAUUUUUAGUGGCAACCCAUACUUAAUUUUUUAUACUUGCAACAACAAUUUAAGUAAAAAUAUGAAGAGCUAAUAAAUGCAAAUGUCUGUGUAAUACCAUACAUUUGGUGAAAAUAUUAUAAAGGCAUUGCUUUGUGUAUUUAUAACUCCAAGCACAUGUUUCUGCAAUAGUAUGUAUUAUUUCAAAAAUUGUCCUUAGCUUUUGCUUUGAUGAUUAGAUAUUACGCCUAGAUAAUUGUACUUUAGAAUCAAGAGGAAUUAUAAAGAUGAUGUAUAAUGGAUUAGAAGCAAUGGGUUGUAGAGAACACUUCAGGUAUCUUAUUAUGAGAGAUAAGCCUUUGUCUGCAUAAUCUCUCCACUAAUAUAUUGCUGUAAUUAUUUCUGUAAAUAGGAGCUUCUGUGAAAUUCACAGGACACAGGCAGUGCUACCAAUGCAGGUCAAAUCCCUGAGGUUCAACAGCAAGCAAGAGCAAGAGGAAGCACCCUGUCCAAGCAACAGAGCUGGGCAGGAUUCACUGAAUCCAAACCCUGUUUUCUUUUCCUUAUGCCAAGCUACCUCUCAGGAAACUUAGAGUCAAUAUUUUCAAACUGUACCACGUUUUGACCUAGUGUCAUUAUCUGCCUGCCACACUGAACAAAAUUCUAUGAAUUCUAUUACAAAAUAA